rnacentral:rRNA from 1 species
GACGAACGCUGGCGGCGUGCCUAAUACAUGCAAGUCGAACGCUUCUUUCCUCCCGAGUGCUUGCACUCAAUUGGAAAGAGGAGUGGCGGACGGGUGAGUAACACGUGGGUAACCUACCCAUCAGAGGGGGAUAACACUUGGAAACAGGUGCUAAUACCGCAUAACAGUUUAUGCCGCAUGGCAUAAGAGUGAAAGGCGCUUUCGGGUGUCGCUGAUGGAUGGACCCGCGGUGCAUUAGCUAGUUGGUGAGGUAACGGCUCACCAAGGCCACGAUGCAUAGCCGACCUGGGAGGGUGAUCGGCCACACUGGGACUGAGACACGGCCCAGACUCCUACGGGAGGCAGCAGUAGGGAAUCUUCGGCAAUGGACGAAAGUCUGACCGAGCAACGCCGCGUGAGUGAAGAAGGUUUUCGGAUCGUAAAACUCUGUUGUUAGAGAAGAACAAGGACGUUAGUAACUGAACGUCCCCUGACGGUAUCUAACCAGAAAGCCACGGCUAACUACGUG